rnacentral:rRNA from 1 species
CUAUGUGUUGUUGGGUAGGGGAGCGUUCUGUAAGCCUGUGAAGGUGUGCUGUGAGGCAUGCUGGAGGUAUCAGAAGUGCGAAUGCUGACAUAAGUAACGAUAAAGCGGGUGAAAAGCCCGCUCGCCGGAAGACCAAGGGUUCCUGUCCAACGUUAAUCGGGGCAGGGUGAGUCGACCCCUAAGGCGAGGCCGAAAGGCGUAGUCGAUGGGAAACAGGUUAAUAUUCCUGUACUUGGUGUUACUGCGAAGGGGGGACGGAGAAGGCUAUGUUGGCCGGGCGACGGUUGUCCCGGUUUAAGCGUGUAGGCUGGUUUUCCAGGCAAAUCCGGAAAAUCAAGGCUGAGGCGUGAUGACGAGGCACUACGGUGCUGAAGCAACAAAUGCCCUGCUUCCAGGAAAAGCCUCUAAGCAUCAGGUAACAUCAAAUCGUACCCCAAACCGACACAGGUGGUCAGGUAGAGAAUACCAAGGCGCUUGAGAGAACUCGGGUGAAGGAACUAGGCAAAAUGGUGCCGUAACUUCGGGAGAAGGCACGCUGAUAUGUAGGUGAAGUCCCUCGCGGAUGGAGCUGAAAUCAGUCGAAGAUACCAGCUGGCUGCAACUGUUUAUUAAAAACACAGCACUGUGCAAACACGAAAGUGGACGUAUACGGUGUGACGCCUGCCCGGUGCCGGAAGGUUAAUUGAUGGGGUUAGCCGCAAGGCGAAGCUCUUGAUCGAAGCCCCGGUAAACGGCGGCCGUAACUAUAACGGUCCUAAGGUAGCGAAAUUCCUUGUCGGGUAAGUUCCGACCUGCACGAAUGGCGUAAUGAUGGCCAGGCUGUCUCCACCCGAGACUCAGUGAAAUUGAACUCGCUGUGAAGAUGCAGUGUACCCGCGGCAAGACGGAAAGACCCCGUGAACCUUUACUAUAGCUUGACACUGAACAUUGAGCCUUGAUGUGUAGGAUAGGUGGGAGGCUUAGAAGUGUGGACGCCAGUCUGCAUGGAGCCGACCUUGAAAUACCACCCUUUAAUGUUUGAUGUUCUAACGUUGACCCGUAAUCCGGGUUGCGGACAGUGUCUGGUGGGUAGUUUGACUGGGGCGGUCUCCUCCUAAAGAGUAACGGAGGAGCACGAAGGUUGGCUAAUCCUGGUCGGACAUCAGGAGGUUAGUGCAAUGGCAUAAGCCAGCUUGACUGCGAGCGUGACGGCGCGAGCAGGUGCGAAAGCAGGUCAUAGUGAUCCGGUGGUUCUGAAUGGAAGGGCCAUCGCUCAACGGAUAAAAGGUACUCCGGGGAUAACAGGCUGAUACCGCCCAAGAGUUCAUAUCGACGGCGGUGUUUGGCACCUCGAUGUCGGCUCAUCACAUCCUGGGGCUGAAGUAGGUCCCAAGGGUAUGGCUGUUCGCCAUUUAAAGUGGUACGCGAGCUGGGUUUAGAACGUCGUGAGACAGUUCGGUCCCUAUCUGCCGUGGGCGCUGGAGAACUGAGGGGGGCUGCUCCUAGUACGAGAGGACCGGAGUGGACGCAUCACUGGUGUUCGGGUUGUCAUGCCAAUGGCACUGCCCGGUAGCUAAAUGCGGAAGAGAUAAGUGCUGAAAGCAUCUAAGC